UGUCUUCCCCAGCAACAGGCUCGAUGUGACAGCAUCGUCCUUUGUAACGAUCAAGACUGGUAAGUCCAUCAGUCCAAACAGUUGUCCAUGUACCAGUAGAAGAUUCGGCAGCUACUGCAGCCCCUGCUUCUUCGGGCGGAACCCCAGGCUGAGGACUUACUCGGAAUGCUGCCAAGAUAUCAGUAUCCUUAGUUUCAUACUCUAGGGUGUAGUAAGUCAAUUUAUAAUCUUUAACACCAGCUUUAAAUCCAACACCUGCUUUAGUUUCUGUUUGUGGUGACAUAAGUCCCUCCCUAUAACUCUUGAAUUAAGAAUUCUCACAAUAACAGGGUCUACUCGAUGUUAAUUAGGCGUAAAUGAAACUUUAGCAAAAAUCUCGUAAAACAAAAAGGAUAUUCAAUUAAUAUAAUAUCAACUCAUUAAAGAAAAUUGAGGGCAUGCUUAGGUUAAUGAAUAUGUUUCAUUCAUAUAUAAUGCGUACACCCUGUGUAUGUUCUAUCCUAUAGGAAUUCCACUAUAGGAAUUCGAUAGGAAUUGAGUUGUUGUUAUGGUAAGNNNNNNNNNNGGGGGGGGGUAGUCCUAUGCAUUGUGCAUGGUUUACUUAAAUAAAACUUAAAAAUAGAGUGAAUAACCAAGAUUUCUCGCCGACACUCUAAUAAAAAAGAAAUCUAUUCAAUGAAUAGGAUAAGAUCCAUUGAGUUCUCUUCGCAUUCCUUUGUGAAAGAGUAGAAUGAGAAAGCUAAUGAAUCUUAAACCCAUCCAAAUGGGAUAAGAGAAUUCUUAUUAGUCUCUUUCUUUAUCUCAAUUGAAGAAGUAGUUGGAAAAUAAAACAGCAAGUACAAAAAUGAGUAAUAAACCCCAGUAUAGACUGGUACGAUUCAGCGGAAGUUGCGGGUUCGAGCCCCGUCAGUCCCGAACUAGGGUUGAAUGAAUGGAGAAAUUGAUAUUUCCUUUUUCCAUGAAAAAAAGGGGCAGGGAGCAAGAUCAAAUACCCACAGGGCACCCUUAUGAGCCUCGUGGAGAAGCAAUCGCUAGUCCAUGGGGCUCAUACUUCAGCGCUGCAGCGCUUGGUACUCGGACCUCGGCUCGAGGCAUUUUCUCUACCCCUUCUUACCCUGAAAAAGCAGGGUCACCUUGUGUCCUUAAACCUAUAACCAUCUUUCGGCUGUGUAUGAAUCACUCACCUAUUCUUCCGAAUUAUAUGUAUCUGCGAGAUUAAUUUUUGGUUUCGAUGUGCAAAAACAAAUGAAAUGAAAAUGAAUUGAUAAAACAUUCCUAAAAAAAUUCUGUCACUUAUACUUUAUGUUAUGAUAUUCUAAUCAGAUUGGAUGGCAAAGAGUAAAGAAGGCAAUGCUUUUUUUUCAUUUUUGAUCUGUAAAUGGAGUUGUUAAUGAAUAUGCUUCAUUCGCUGACUCUAUUCCAUUCCCUGACCUUCUUUCUCCAAUCUUGGAUUAGGGAAGAAGGAGAUAUUCGUGACUACUGGCGAUUUCAUUAUGGGGCAGCUCAUGAUCUUAGGAAUUCUUCUAUAAUUUAAAUGACUCAAUAAAAGCUUUUUUUUAUUCUUUUAGUUACUGAUUAUUAUUUUUGGAUUUCACUCCACCCGUGGUUGGGAACUAGUAAUUCGUUGGGUCUACAACGAUUUUGGAUGGGCUCCUAACGAGCUUAUUUUCACUAUUUUUGUUUGUAGUUUUCCAGUAAUUCUAGAUACAUGUUUGAAAUUUUGGGUCGUGGCAAUUCCACCCAGAAGGUAAUGGGUUACUCCUACAGCGCGUCCUUGUAUAAUGCUCAAGGCUCUAGGCUGAGUAGCAGGAGCAACUUUUAAUUUGUUAUGAGCCCAAACGAUAGAUUCAAUGAGUUCUUGCCAAUAACCACGGCCGCUGGUUUCAUGUUACGCCAAUUUGAAUUUGCUCGGUCUGUUCAAUUGCGGCCUUAUAAUGCAAUCUCAUUAUCUGGUCCAAUUGCUGUUUUUGUAAUCGAUCUUAUUGCAAAACCAAUGUCUUACUUCAUAGAUUCGAGAGAAUAGGAGAACAGUAGCCUGACAAACAGUCGGUUCAGUCCGAUUCAGGUGCCAAUCUGAUAUUAUAGUGCCAGUGUAGAUAGAAAUUCCCUUAUGAUCUAAUUCUGAGCGGUAGUAAAUACCAGGACGUAGCAAUAUUUGAUUGAUCACAAUUCGGUGUCUUCCCCAGCAACAGGCUCGAUGUGAUAGCAUCGUCCUUUGUAACGAUCAAGACCGGUAAUUCCAUCAGUCCAAACAGUUGUCCAUGUACCAGUAGAAGAUUCGGCAGCUACUGCAGCCCCUGCUUCUUCGGGCAGAGGGAAUUUCCGGUGGAGCGGUGAAAUGCAUGGAGAUCGGAAAGAACACCAACGGCGAAGACUUAAAGAUAUUUUGGAGGCUCACAAGGGCCCAUUUACAGGACAAGGCGACCUUCAACAAAAGGGUACCUGUACCCGAAACCGACACAGGAGGGUAGGUAGAGAAUACCUAGGGGCGCGAGACAACUCUCUCUAAGGAACUCGGCAAAAUAGCCCCGUAACUUCGGGAGAAGGGGUGCCCCCUCACAAAAGGGGGCCGCAGUGACCAGGCCCGGGCGACUGUUUACCAAAAACACAGGUCUCCGCAAAGUCGUAAGGGAAUCCAUCAAAAUAAUUCAAUAAGCUGUAGAAAAAAUUCCUGGAGGACCUUAUGAGAAUUUAGAAGUCCGACGCUUUAAGAAAGAAAAGAAUUCUGAAUGGAAUGAUUUUGAUUAUAAAUUUCUUGGUAAAAAACCUUCGCCCGGACUUUGUAUCGACUAAAGUAUAUACUUCGACUUUCAUGCGCUAGAACUUUAGCUCGUAAACAUAAAAGCACGGUGCGAACUUUUAUGCAACGAUUGGGGGUCGUCUCGGAGGAAAAGAAAUUGCACGCGCCGAAUCUAUUAAAAAGGGUAGACUUCCCCUCCAAACAAUUCGCGCUAAAAUUGAUUAUUGCUGCUAUCCAAUUCGGACUAUCUAUGGAGUAUUAGGGUGUUAAAGAUUAUAAAUUGACUUACUACACCCCAGAGUAUGAAACUAAGGAUACUGAUAUCUUGGCAGCAUUCCGAGUAAGUCCUCAGCCUGGGGUUCCGCCCGAAGAAGCAGGGGCUGCAGUAGCUGCCGAAUCUUCUACUGGUACAUGGACAACUGUUUGGACUGAUGGACUUACCAGUCUUGAUCGUUACAAAGGACGAUGCUAUCACAUCGAGCCUGUUGUUGGGGGGUUCUUCUCCUACCAGUAUCGAAUAGAACAUGCUGAACAAGAUCUUCUUCAUGGAAACCUGCUCGAUUUAGAUCGGGAAAAUCGUACAGAUUUUAUGAAACCAUGUGCGAUGGCUCAAAUCCAUAGUCAAUCCUACUUUCGAUAGGACCAGUUGACAAUUGAAUGGGAGCAGCCUAAACCGUGAAAACAGGGUUGUGGGAGAGCAAUACAAGCGUUGCGCUGCUAGGCGAAGCGGUUGAGUGCCGCACCCUAGAUGGCCGCUUAUGUAAUAGAGCCGAUCCACUAAGGGAUUAAGCAGCGGUGUAGUAUCAGAUCCCAAAGAUAGUAAGUUCUUUUUUCUUUCUUAUGGAAAAAAGUCCCUUGCAAAGGUAUCUCGGCGGGAUCAAAUAUAUGACGAGAUUGCCAGACAUUGUGAUCGUCCUUGAUCAGCAAAAAGUGUUUCGGAUAUAUUUACUUACAUUUGAUGGGUAUUUGCGUGUUCAUUUUCAAAAUUACAGUAGCACUAAAGAGAGUUCCUGCUUGAACAAAACGAAAGAUAUUAUCGAUAAAUAAAAGCACGUCUUGCUAAUUAACAUCUCGAAAAUAUUCCGCCAUAGUUAGGGCAGUCGUACUGUGCUUUCCAAAGAGCAACUCUUCUCAAAAUCUCAAAACAAAAGGUGCUGAGUUGGAAUUCGAACGAGCACUCGAAAAGAUUCUGGAGGAUCCUCAUGAUUAGGUUUUUUUCCCAGAUCGUAGCAUUAAGUAUUUCUUGGCACCAAAAUCCCCGGGUUCCGCGGGGUAAAUCCAUUAAAAAGGACAAAUUUUAGCAGAAGGUUUCGAGAACCUUUUAGAAGUUCUACCCAUAUGUGUUCUGAUCGCCAAUUCAUAUUAGAUAUACUAAAUCCAGAAGCGGUCGAUUGAAAUUGAGUCAAUCCAUAACAUCCCUUAUUCAAUCCAUAAUCAAGAAUAAUUAGGAUUUCUAAAAAAAAAGAAAAAAUAAAGGGUCCACUCAUAGGAAGAAACUUAAGGCCACUCUUCCUCCGGGCUUUCUUUCCGCACUAUUAUGGAUAGUUAAAUAAUGGGAAAAUUGGAUUCAAUUGUCAACUGGUCCUAUCGAAAGUAGGCUGCUCCAAGUAUAAUUUCCAGGCGUUCCGUAUACGAACCUCUUCAAACAGGGCUUAUUGCUAUCGAUUCGAUGAUCCCUAUAGGGCGUGGUCAGCGAGAGUUAAUUAUUGGGGACAGACAUACUGGCAAAACAGCUGGCGGACCUGCCGCGCAAGAUCUUUGGUCUUUCCCUGGAACCGAUAAAAAAAGUGGAUCGCUUCUUAUGUACUCGCCGUAGCACGAGGGCACCGGCCCAACGACCAGCAACCCAUGAAGAGACUAGGUCCAUAAACGAGGGUGGGAAACAAACGAAAUCACCACCACCGUUGUCGGCGUACCCGCAGGCAACUCCUAACCUCCACCGCCCGACAUCUGAUAGCACGACCAGACCACAGCACCUCUACGGAGGUAGAACGAUGCCUGCCGGAAGGAGUAUUUUCAUUUGCUUCCGGCUGGAGUGGCCGACUACUACGAGCGACCUGCCGCAUGCGUGCUCGUGCGUCGCAUGAUAAAGACGGCGAGGAGUCGUCCUCGGAGUAGUAAACUUUGCCGCUAAAUACACUUGGAUGGAACGUCAACACAUCCAAAGAGAAUAUCCGAUGUACUUUACAGCAGUUAGCUUGAGUGGGGCAAAAGACAUGAACGAUGGUGAAUUUGAACCGCUUCCUUUCUGCGAUCGACAGGUAGUACUAAAAAUCACGAAAAAAGACGACCGCUGGACGCAUCGGUCCAACGGGAGUCAAUAAAAUCACCAAAUCUUAAAGUCAGCUGAAGUAGAAGAAACAGGGCAAGCUGGCAUGGGGACUAUCAUACGGGACUGCCGUGGCGCCGAAUUUCCUUGCCUUGACGGACCUUUUUCUCUUCUUUUUUCACAAUGUCGGGAGAGAGAGUGUAAUUUUAACAGGUGCAGGUAAUUGCUCCGGCACAUCAUUCAUGACAUCAACGUGACGGCAUGCGGAAUCACAUGUUUAGAGCAUCUACAGCCGGACUUCCUAAACCCUCUUCGAACGCUCGGGCGGUCUGCCCCAUCACUGACCGGUCACGAUUUUUUGACCCGGACGGACGGCUCAAACGGGCCUCAAACGCUCAGGCUGACCGGCACCCCUCAUAUCCAGCCCAAGUAAGAGGCGGAUACGGGGGCGCCCGGGCACUUCCGUCACGUCGGACCUGGCCCAUGCUAGCCCACCCGACCCCACAUAUAUGCCUCUCCAUCCGCUCACCGGACCAAACCCUACCCACUUCACUUCACUCCCCUCCGCCACUCGAGCUCACCUCGACGGUUUUCGACCUUCUCCGGCAUGGCAGGCAGCGGAUAUGACUCCGACGCGUCUGAAUCCGUCUACUGGGGUGUCAUUCCGUGCAGGUUGAAGGAGAGGAUAAGGGGCGCCGCGACUCCAUAGUGUCUGCUCAAUGGGCGAUCGGGUCCUCGGGGGGUGGAUCCUCGAGGUCUAGGCAGCCGGAAGCCCUCUCCUUCCGCAUCACCGGGCGGGCAGACUAUGAGUCCCACCGGGAAUGGGCGGCCCGCCGUGGAAGGAGAGGAUAAGGGCCGCCGAGGCCCGUAUCGCGGCGGAAAUGGCAGCGGCGGAGGCGGCUGAUGCGGCGGCACGGGCGGCCACAGAGGAGGAAGCCAUUCGUGUCGGUAUUGGAAGAAAUAGCAGCGGAGGAACACACGCGCCCUCGCCUGAGAGCAGAAUCAGGCGGUCUGUGCCAUGACCGGACUGCCACCAAAGGAGGACAGCGACAGCGAGGACAGCUCUGGCGACGAGCAAAUUCGGCUCGACCCGUACUGCGUCUUGGACCGGUACUUCCGCGAGAAGGACGGCAAGGGCGCCGGGAAGGACAAGGGCAUCCGUGGAUGAACUCCACCAUAGCCAAGCAUGCCAAAUUUUGGUAGACCGAUGGCAUGUUUAGUUAGUAGUGAUGGAGUAGCCGGACAAUGUGUGUGCAUUGACGUAGUUGUACGAGUUUGUAUGGAUUUGAGAUAUGAUAAUUGAGGUGUUCGGAUAUGGAUUGCAUUAUUUAAGAGGUGCCCGGUCAGUGCCAGCGAACGCGCGGCCGGAUUUGCCCAUCACGGCUGUAGAUGCUCUUGGGACGAUAUGUUGAGCGUGCGUGCCAUAUGGUUCACCGUUUUAAAAUUGCAAAAAAGAAUUACUUGCAUGCUGCCUUCUCCUAGGCUAGCUCGCAGUGCUCGAUCGGCGACCACCCGCUGUCGCUGCUUUCCUACCGACGUCACGUUAGUGGAUCAGGAUCGAGUCAUCGGGCACUCCGACCAGCCAUGCACGCAUGCUGCAUGCAACUGGUGCAAUGAAACGGCGGGCUCGCGCCGUGCAGCUCCUCACGUACGAGUACGUGGAUGCAACGAAUGGACUUGGACUCGACUUCCGGGGAGAGACGGCCGGCGACCGGCGACGUGGCUACUUCCGGUCGGCUGAUUGACUAUAUCCAGUCCAGCAGCGUCCGCUCCAAGUUGAAGCACCACGGCGUCGACUCGAGUCGACUGGGCACGUGUGUUGCGUGGUCACUCCUCUGGACUGGAGCGGCCGACGUGCGACUUUCUUGCAACUUCCAAGUGUCACUCCGCGGCGCGCGUUUAAACACGUACGGCGUGGACUCGUGGUCGAUCGGAACGGAGUACGUGGUAAACUUCGCUACCACUACGUAUAUAUUCUCCUAAGCAAACUUGGCUGCUAAGCAUAUACAACUACGUAUACAAAGGAACAUCAACACGUCCACGUAGGAAAAACAUGCGUGGUGACUGGUCAGUACGUACUCCUUUACCACAAGUCUCUCGAACGGGCCAAGAAGAUGCAUGGACGGCGUGAUCGGUUCGAAUCCGUUACUGCUUUGUACGAUAUACCGCUUUUCAAGGAUACACUGCUUGCUACAUCGACAGGUCCUGAUAGGAGAAAUCGCGAAAAAAGCCGUCCGCUGGACAGAGUACGUACGUACAAUGACUUGGGAGUCUGCCGUCUACACUCAUCUUUUUUUUUUCGAAAAAAACUUUUAAUCUAUUCAUCUUCAAUCAUGGUAGUACAACGAACACUGGAAGUAAUAAAAAUUACAUCCAGACCCGUAGACCAUCUAGCGACGACUACAAGCACUGAAGCGAGCCGAAGGCGCGCCGCUGUCAUCGCCCCUCCCUCGCCGGAGCCGGGCAAACCUUGUUGUAGUAGACAGUCGGGAAGUCGUCGUGCUAAGGCCCCGUAGAACCAACGCACCAGAACAGCAACCGUCGCGGAUGAAGAGUGUAGAUCAAAAAGAUCCAACCUGAAAACACACGAACGGAGACGAACGACGAACAGAUCCGAGCAAAUCCACCAAAGACAGAUCCGCCGGAGACACAGCUCCACACGCCCACCAACAAUGCAAGACGCAUCACUGGAACGGGGGCUAGGCGGGGAGACCUUUAUUCCAUCUUCAGAGAGCCGCCACCGUCUCGCCUUCCUGAGCAGGACACAAACCCUAACAAAGCUCCAAAAAAGAUCUAAAAACGGAGCCCUCCCACCUGCAAGGGCCGAGAUCCACUCCGCCUCCAUGGCCAUAGGGCCACCGGAGACGGGAUGGACCGGCGCCGGCGCCGGUGGGAGGCAGAAAGCUAGGGUUUUUGGAGGCGGCGGCUAGGUGUGCGUCCUACUUUGGUUUGUUAUUUUAGUUUAAAGUUAGUUGGUUAAAAAAAGCACGAGCUGUGCUGAGAUCGUCUGCACCCAUCUUGCCUCUAUUGGUCAAGUCGCUUGCACGGGGCGGAGAUCCUGUGUUUAGUUUGUGUCCAAGAUUGCCCCACCAAAGCAUUGGCUAGCCAAAAUUUUGGUUGAGGUUUUUGUUGCUCAUGAUUUGAAUAACAUUAGCAAGAAAAAUUUGUUGAGUAGAGUUUAUUCGCAUGUCAAAAAAUUGACAACCAUUCAAACAAAGAUCAAUCUUUGAGUCAGAGUAAAUUGUAGAAAACCAUCAGUUUAAAGGCUAGGUUUGCAGAAAACACUACAAUACAUUUUUUUUCUUCAAAAAACACUACGUCUUCAGUAAUCUUUUUGCAAAAACCACUGAUCGACGGAUCUGGCUCUGUUAAGCGUGUUUAUGACAGAUGGGGCCCAUUUUCUGCUUACAUGGCGUAACUUUUUGUGCUAGAUGGGGUUUAAUCUAAAAUUACAAACUAGACCCUCAAAUUUUACACAGCCACCCCCAAAUAAAUAAAAAUAAAAAAUGCAAUUGACCACCACCGGAGCUCGUGCAAAUUGGCCUUAUCCCCCGCCCUCGACCUCAUGUUGACCACGGCCGAUCAGCUAUCCCCCACCACCUCAUGUCGUCCUUCUCCUCCCCAAUGCUCCUCCGUGGUGGAACUGCUCCUCCCCGACGAGGAUCUGGAUCGGGGGGCCCUCGUCCUCCUCUGUGGUGGACGUCGUCGUCCUGCCGCCGUGGUCCCGGCCGCGGAACUUUGUGCCGGCGUCGGAGAAGCUGUCCCCUCUGCAUCACUGGAGUGAUCCCGCCUGCUAUGUUCGGCAGCGUGCACAUCCGCGUCGGCGCGAACGCCCACGGCCGCUGCCCAGCUCCGUCGACCAUGGCCAUCGGCGAGAAGGCGGCGUGGGGCUCGCCCGUCUGGCUCCGGCCUCAGGCUCUAAAUCGAGGAUGAUGGCGGCAGCUCAAUCCAGACCGAGGACGGCGGUGGCGAGGCGGAGAAGAGGACAUGGGGCGGAGGCGGGGCGGCCCAGAGCGGUGGCGGGACGGACAAGUCGACAAGGGGUGGCAGCGGCAUGAUCCAGAUCGAUGCUCGCGGUAGGAGUGGCGGUGGCUCGAUCCAAAGAUGGAGCGGGGCCGGCGAAGAUGGGGAAUAGGGGAAGGGCGGACGCUGUAGCCCCAGACGCUCACCACGUCGAGCUGGCCAGGGCAUUCCCGCCAGAUCCGGUGCCCUGCGGGGACGGUGGAGGCCGAUGUGACCGGAUCCGGUUGGGGGCAUGACGACGGCGGCCCGGGGAUGGAGGGGCGGCGCUGAGCUCGUGUGCACGCUUGCCGGCUGCGGCAUGAUUAGAGGGCCUAGGAAGCNNNNNNNNNNNNNNNNNNNNNNNNNNNNNNNNNNNNNNNNNNNNNNNNNNNNNNNNNNNNNNNNNNNNNNNNNNNNNNNNNNNNNNNNNNNNNNNNNNNNNNNNNNNNNNNNNNNNNNNNNNNNNNNNNNNNNNNNNNNNNNNNNNNNNNNNNNNNNNNNNNNNNNNNNNNNNNNNNNNNNNGGGGCUUUUUGCAUUAAACCUAAACCGUUAAUGCCACGUAAGCAGAAAAUGGGCCCAUCUGUCAUAAACACGCUUAACAGAGCCAGAUCCGCCGAUAAGUGGUUUUUACAAAAAGAUUACACAAGACGUGGUGUUUUUUGAAAAAAAAAAUAUGUAAAGUUGUGUUUUCUGCAAACCUAGCCUUCAAAGUGAUGGUUUCAUGCAAUUUACUCCUUUGAGUCAUGAACAAAAUUUUAAUAAGAUACACUUUGACCACAAUCCAAACACACCCCUAAACUUCUCCCGGGACUUGCAGUAAUUUUCAACGCGAGGGAAUCAAACAGCAGAAGAUCGAGAGAGAGGAGAAAGAGACGCGCAAACCACUGGGCACCACCGACGUUCGUACGUAUCGUAACGUAACGUAGGCCUUAUGCCCUUAACAUCACUCACUGUUCAUUCAUCAAACGCAUGCCUCAGCUAGCCAUCAUCAAGGCUAGAUAAACUCUUUUUUGCCAGCUCUCCAAGACUCCAACCAAGCACUAAGAUGUAGUGGAGUAGUAAUUUUUCAUUCUAGCUAUGCAACCAUUCCACUCCGAUCAGUCAUGAGAUUCUGUUCUACUCUGUCUCCCUAGCCCCUACCAAAGCGCACCACGUAUCUACAACAAGACGGAGCCAAGCGGUGCAGACCACGACCACGGAGUGCAAACGCUGCGCACCAUGCAUUACCGCGGAACACACACCCCAGACCCAGAUCCAGAACCAGAGGUGGCAAGCAAAGCAAGCGUGUGAAAUGGAUCAGACCAGGCCACCAACCGUGUCGGACUCUCGGUCACCACGUAAGACGGACAUGGACUUGACUUGCCGGAGAGCGACGGCCGGCGACCGACGACGUGGCGACGACCUCGAUCCAUCGAUCACAUGGAUGACCAGGAUGGGUGCACGAAUGUCGGGAUAUGCCCUGCCCAGGAAACCGAUCGAGUGGUCAGGGCAACUCCAAUUCAACAUCCAAAUGGUCCGGCCGCGUCUGUUUAAAGUAAAUGCACAGAAAAAACGGCACAACGCGCGGGAGCAAAUCGAUCAACGUCCGUUUUUUAUCCGCUUUUGAUUCAUUUCUGGUCCAAAUUUCGGCGGCGUUUGCGUCGAAACGGAUACGCGCGGACGGACACGACGUGUGCCAUGUCCUCCCCUGGCCCGUCAGUCGGGGACCCAUGCGCCCAUUUUUCUAUUCCAUCCGCCAGUCGAGCCGCACCCCGCUUCACUCCCCUCACGUCCCUAGGCGCCAUCACCGCCAUUUUUCUCGGCCGCGUCGCUGUCCAGCACAGCCGCGCGCCCGCCCCUACCCUUGUCGCGUCCCCCGUGUUCUCGACACUCCUAGCUGUCCAACCCCGGUCGUAUGAUCUCAGCGCAUUCGGUCGCCGGAUUUGGAGCGGAUCCAGCCGGACUUGAGCGUACCCGGCUGCCGGAGACCGCGCCGUGCCAUGGACUGGCCAUGUACCGAACUGCACAGCCCCCGCAACACCCCAGGCCGCAUGUAGAUAUUGACUCCGCCUAUAAACGCUCGAAUCUACCCUGUCGUCGGUUCGCCGGCAAAUACACCAACGAUUGUCACCCAGACUCGGUGCUGGCCCAAAGGCUCGUCGACGCACCGUUGCCACUUAUAAAAUGCGACGAUUGUCCACGAAAGGUCGUACGCCGCGCGUCUACAACGCCGGAACAUCAUGGAUGGGUGUUCGUCAAGUGCAUAAACGAUGGGGUGUGUGCUAUUUUAGCUUCGGUUGUGCUACCGGAUUGGGGGCAUUUUGGAUGGCUCUUUGCUUAUACUCAAACUUUUUGUGAGGAUGGAUCCAACUUUUGGUAUUGGGAAGAAGAAUACAUCGAUCUAUUCAAAGAACGCAAUUUGAUAGAUGUUUGUGCACCUGUUGCUAGAAUAGAAGUUAGAAAUGAGACUAGAUGCGAAGAAGCAAUGUCUACUUCUUUAGAAUCGAAGAAGGAAGAAGUAUGCAAGAUCGAGAAUCCGUAGAUCAACAAUGAAGGCAUCGAAAGGAUAGUAAUCCAACUUCUGGGAGCAGUUACGAAAGUUGGACAUCUUUUAAAAUGUUUGCUUGUGGUUCUUGUUUUUUUUGUCUUGCUAUUCUAGCCAAGCUUUGGUGAAUGUACUCCAAUGUAACAAAAAAUCAUUGAUGGAAUAAUAUAGGAAAUGAGGCGGAAAAAAUGUAUGCAGACAUGAUGCGGCAAAAAUGAGACCACGCAUUGAGCGCAGAGCCGGUGCAUCGACAAAUCUGAAUGGACACUGCCACAUUGCCAUUCUCAAACGGACGAAAUUCAGACAAAACAGACGCCCGUUUAGGGUCGUGCCUUUGGAAUUGCCCUCAGGGCAAGCUUCUCACUUGUCACGUCGCGGUUUUGAUACUUUUUACCGCUGGAGGGAGCCGACCUGGACAUGUGUGGCCGGCGUUUGGAGAUGUGUAGAUGACCAUCGAGGACUCGUAAUCGAAGUACAGGACGGUGAUGAAUCCAAUCCGUUACCGAGAAGUACUUCGGUACAACCAUCCCCCAAUUAACGUAGAAGGGAUAGUAUUGUCCAUAUUAAAUUUCGUAUUUGCGUACCCGUCGUCCGUCGUAGGCCGUCCGCCCGUGUACGUCCCGCCCCGUACGCCCGCGUCGUACGCAUACCGUGGCGUUCGUUAGUUCGAUCGGGAAAGGAAAAAAAACGACACCCCAUCCCCGCCUACGAAACCCUAGCGGCAUCAACGCCGCCGUGGUCCACCGCCGUCAGGACGUCGGGCGGCGUCCGUAGUCACCCACGCGGCGUGUCGCCGGUGUCGCGUGAAACCGACACCCCAUCCCCGCCUAGGAAACCCUAGUGGCAUCAACGCCGCCGUGGUCCACCGCAGUCACGACGUCGACCCCGACGUGCCCGUCUAGUCGCGAGCACGGGCGGCGUCCGCAGUCACGCACGCGUCGUGUCGCCGGUGAAACGCCCAGCGCUCCCGCGUCAACUCCUGGUACGCGCCCUCCACGACGUGGGUAGCGGCAUCGGAUCGGCGUCGACCCCAGGCGAGGACCCCUCGACGGUGGAGAGUAGGUUCUCUGGCUCUCUUUUUUUCUUUUUGAUUUGUUCAUUGCAUUUUUUAUGCCACAAAAUGAUACCCUACUUGGCUAAAUAAGAGAGGAGAGUAGUGGCCUCUUAAUGACCUCUUAAUGAUUUUGUACAUUCAAAUUUGUAUGCAUGACACAUAGUCAUGUCACUGUUGAUGAAUUUACUGUAUUCGCGAUGAUGUUGUGGAAUGUUGGCAUUGAUCUCACACCUUAUUUGUAUGUGUAUAGAUGGAUCAAGAAACCGGAUACGCCAGUGAUGAUUCUGGUAGCGAUAAUGGAUCAUCGUCAUUGAAUGCGAACCAACCUCCCGGAGACAACUAUAUGAGUCAGGAUGAAUCGUACAGUGGUAAUGUAAGUGCCUUGAAUGUUGACCAAAACAUAUUGAAUACAAACUAGUUCUUUGACACUUACAUGUCCUUUUAAAUUUGUACAGCUACAUGGUAAUGAUGACGAUGAGGAAUAUGAUAUAGAUGAACAAUUUUAUGCAGAUGGUGUGAGCCAGGUACGUUGAAAAAAAUGUAGGGCAAUGAUUGACAUUAAAAUUGUAUUACCACUUAUUUUACUUUAAAUGUGCACAGAUAAAUGCUCAUGGUGACAAUAAGCAUAAUAAUAUAGAUGAUGACAAUGCCGAGAGCGAGGUCGAUGCAUCUUGUAGUGGGAGCGCUAGCCAAGUAAGUUCUUUACAUUAUUUAUGGUAAGUAAUAAUACAAGAACAGAUUGACAUGCAAGGUUAUAUGUCAUAUUUUGCAGGGAGGUGUUGAUGGUCCUAGCGGGAACGAUGAGCACAGCGAUGAUGAUCAGUUUGACCUUGACAUGGGUUAUGAUGAAUAUCAGCAAGAGUCACUUGAUAGGUAUUGGGAAGUGAUGGCAAAGACAUUCAGGUCAUUAGAUGAGGUGUACAUGUUCUACAACAAGCACGCGAGAGAACGUGGGUUCAGCAUCAGGAAGGACUCGCUAAAACGUUCAAAGGAUCGCGCAAGGACUGUGCGCUUGAGGAGGUAUCUCUGUUCCGCCGCAGGAAAACGACAGGCCAAGUUCUGUACCAUGGAAGGCCGGACCCGCAGGCUUAGACCGGAGAGUCGAUUCUUCUACAAAGCCCAUUUGACAGUUAAGCUUGAUAAAAAGCUUAAUCUUUGGUAUGUCAGCAGUUUCUCCGAUGAUCACAGCCACAUUCUUGCACGACCGGACGAAGUCCCUUUCCUCCGAUCUCAUAAUCAGAUCAAAGCAUUUGAGAGAGCAGAGAUCUUAGCUAUGGCAGGAGCUGGGAUAAGAAAACAUAUUAUUUUUGACAACAUGGUUAGCAGGUAUGGGUCGCAUGCAAAGUCACCGUUUCAGAGGACAAAGCCGUAUAACAUGUGCUAUAGGGAGAAGAUGAAAUUGCUUGCACAAGGUGAUGCUGAUACUGCCAUAGGAAUCAUGUUGACUAGAAAGGACAGAGAUCCAGAUUUCUUCUUUGAGCACACAGUUGACGCUGAAGGCAGGCUCCAAAACCUGUUCUGGUGUGAUUCGCAGUCACGCCGUGAUUAUCUUGACUACGGUGAUGUUGUCGUCUUCGACAGCACAUAUAAGAUGAACAGGUAUGGAAUGACGUUCAUCCCUUUUGUGGGUCUGAAUAACCACCGUUGCACUACGGUAUUCGCCUGCGCCAUUGUUUCAGACGAGACUGAGGCUACAUAUGUUUGGUUGCUUAACACGUUCUUGAAAGCUAACUGUCAGAAGAGGCCCAAAUCUGUAAUUACCGAUCGAGAUGCAGCGAUGAUAAGGGCUAUCAGGAAGGUGCUUUCUGACGUGUGGCAUCGUCUAUGUAACAUCCCAAAUUUUCAAUUUGGAAUGUUAUACAUUAGAUCAUCAUUGCAUAGCAUAUUUUAUUGCAUUUUGGCAAAUCUUCGAAAAUCCUAAGCAACUCAAGGACCCUCGGAGAGAGUUGGGGAUUUUUCCCGGUUUUCAUAUUUGAUUUUUAUCAAAUAAUAAAACGAGGAUUUUUGGUUUUAAUUAUUUUUCUCUCCGAAAAAUAUUUCAUAUUAAAUAAAUGAGAGGAGAAAAUAUGACUUCUUCAAAAUAAUUGAAAUAUUGGAGGAAAAAUAUUAAAAUCAAAUAUUUGAUUUUAUUCGGAUUUUAUUGGCAAUUUUAAUUGCAUUAGAAAAAUUGCAUGUUUUCAAAACUGCAUUUUUGGGCCAAGAAAAUGUUCAUCUCGUUCUAAUUAUUUUAAUUAGACGGUGAAAAUUUGUUUUGGCAUUUUUGAAUUUUUAUUUAUUUUUCUAUGAUUUUUUUUAGAUUCGGCGGAAUAUUUAAAAAAAAUCGCCCGAGCGCCGACUGGGCCGAAGCCCAGCCGACGGCCUAGCUCCCCGCGCGGCCCAGCCGCGAGUCGUCUCCCACCUGGAGACGGAGCCGCCGCCCGACUCCCGCACGGCCACGACGCCGCCGCCGUCGCCCCUUCCCCAAGGCAACCCCCUCCCCCUUCUUAUAUACUCCCCCCCGUCCCUCUCCUCACCCCGCCGCCCCGNNNNNNNNNNNNNNNNNNNNNNNNNNNNNNNNNNNNNNNNNNNNNNNNNNNNNNNNNNNNNNNNNNNNNNNNNNNNNNNNNNNNNNNNNNNNNNNNNNNNNNNNNNNNNNNNNNNNNNNNNNNNNNNNNNNNNNNNNNNNNNNNNNNNNNNNNNNNNNNNNNNNNNNNNNNNNNNNNNNNNNNNNNNNNNNNNNNNNNNNNNNNNNNNNNNNNNNNNNNNNNNNNNNNNNNNNNNNNNNNNNNNNNNNNNNNNNNNNNNNNNNNNNNNNNNNNNNNNNNNNNNNNNNNNNNNNNNNNNNNNNNNNNNNNNNNNNNNNNNNNNNNNNNNNNNNNNNNNNNNNNNNNNNNNNNNNNNNNNNNNNNNNNNNNNNNNNNNNNNNNNNNNNNNNNNNNNNNNNNNNNNNNNNNNNNNNNNNNNNNNNNNNNNNNNNNNNNNNNNNNNNNNNNNNNNNNNNNNNNNNNNNNNNNNNNNNNNNNNNNNNNNNNNNNNNNNNNNNNNNNNNNNNNNCGCCGCCCCUCGCCGCACCCCCGAGCCCCGCCGGAGUUGCCCCGACGAGGUAGCCGAGCCGCCGCCGCCGAGCCGGGUUUUUUUCAAAAAAACCGUUCGGUUUAUUUUUUUCGAAACCCUAGUUUUUUUUAAAUAGAUCGGUUUAUUUUUUUCGGUUUAGUUAAUUAGCGAACGUUCACCGAUCCGUUCGUUUUAACGAACGUGUUCGUCGGUUUGUCGCAACUAACGAACGUCCGUUCGUUUAACUGUUCGUCAGUUUUCUUUUUCGUCGGUUUUUCCGCGAUUAUUCCAGAUCGCGAUUUCUGAUCAGAUUUUCGUUCUGGUUUAUCUUUUCGCUCGUUUAUCGGAAUCAGGCGAUUCAAGCGCCUAGAGUUUCGUCUCGAAAUUCUCUUUCCGUUUAACCUACUCAAACAAGUUUUUGCUACUGUAAAAUUUGACCUAGAUCCAGAUUAGUAAACGAAGCUUGUUUCUUUCGCCAUUUGACUUUCGUUGCUUCGUUCGAUUUGUUUCUUUUUGCAAACCGGAGUUCUUAAGUUGAACUUUCUGGUUAGAUCUUUUAUUUGAGUUUUACCUGUGCAUUUGAUGAGUGCUUAUUGUAUGCUUGUUUGUUUGCGAUAGAGUACCCGGAGUGCGCCGCUUGCUACUUCGAAUCUCUAAGUUUCACGGAUCAUCAGCAAGGCAAGUAACACUUUGAUCAUACCUCUUUACUACCCAGUUUUAUUGCAUUAGAUCAACCCUCAAACAUUGCAUGGUUAGGAUCUAAUUAAAUUAUGGGUAUUGGGAAGUAGUUGAGGUAGUACCUAUUACAUGUUUUAUUAUCAAACCCUUGGGAGUUACUUCUACGUUUGCUUAUAUUGCUAUGCUAUGCUUGUAGACGUGGAUUGGGUUUGAGUGUAUCCAUGACAGAUGUGAGACUGUUAAUAUAUGGUUAAACUUAAGGUGGCAACUAAAACUCACAUCUGUGUGGAUUGAGGUACCUGGGUAUUCCAGGAUUGCCUGUUUUUCUAAGGACCGCCACCCAGGCUCAAAGGGAUCAUGAGAUUAUUCAUGCUAGAAACUUCCGUGUGCAGCCACAAGCUAUUAUGGGCUCUAGCAUAGUUGAUUAAGUUGUGUGAGCUCUUGAAGAGGUAGACUAGCAGAUGUAGGGGUUGUAGGUGGUACUGUCUACCCGGAGUAGAGAGUUAACGCUUCUGAAAGACUGUGUCUCGGUCAUCCGUUUCUCAAACAUCAUGUAGUGCGAGAACCAAGCAGAGGCGAUCGAGUCUUGUGGGGAAAAGUGCACAAACCUCUGCAGAGUGUACAAUCUAAUCAUAGUUAGCCGUGUCCCCGGUUAUGGACAUCUUGAGUAUCUAGUACUUGGAUUAUCAUGUGAAUCUCAUCAUCAUGUUACUUUAAUUAAUUUUGUUGGGUUAAUGAUGAUACUUAAUUGGGAUUGAGAAUGCUGUCAACCAUUCUCAAUGUUUAAUAACCACCAUGAUAGUUAAAUAAAAUUUAUUCCUUUGCAGUAGGGAAAAAUUGGCUUUUCGCGAAACUGUAACCAUAGAGCCUUCUACCAGCCAUAUAUGCAUGUAGUAUAGCAUUAUUAUGUUCAUUACUCUCUAUGUGUUACAUUGCCAGCAUAUUCCAUAUGCUGACCCGUUUCGGGCUGCAACGUUUCAUGUUGCAGACUUUUCAUACGACGAGUAAGGUGCCUUAGGUCGUGGUCUUAUACUCAGUGAUGCCGUUGGAGUUGAUGGACUCACUUAUCUUCCAAGUCUUCCGCUGUUAUCGUAUUUAGAUGGCCUUAAGCCAUAUUUAUCAUACUUAUUCUCUUUUAAGAUACUCAUUGUAAUAAGUGUGUGAUUGCUAGUCUGUUAUAAAUCCUCCAUUUGUACUGUGCGUGUCAGCAUUACUGAUCCAGGGAUGACACUGGUGCACAGCAGCACAGACUGUUUGAGGUCUGGUCGCUACAAAGGUGGUAUCAGAGCACACGCUGACUGUAGGACACGACCACUAAGCUUAAACCCUAGAACACUACUCUCUUCUCAUUUCUGACUCCUCUCCACUUUCUACUCUUUUAGGAAUGGCGGAUGCAAGGAACAAGUUCAUGCAACCGGAUGAAGAGACACCUUUUGGACGACACUUGAAGGAAGUCACUAAGUACCUGAACAUCGGAAUACCAAGCUUCACCGGAACCUACAACGCCAUACUACCAGAAGAGGAGCGCUGGAAGAUUCAAGUUCAAGUUCCAGGAAGGACGUUCACGCCAGUCACUGAGCCUAUAGAGUUUUCCUUUGAUGCACCAACCUGGAGUUUAGGGAAGAGCAUGGCAGCCCACAUCUCUAUGGGACGCAUUGGAGAAGUCUACCACAAGGAGCUUAAGGAUACUAUUUAUUAGAUUUUUGGACGCCGAGAUGACCAAUGGGAGAUGAUCAGCACCAAGAAGGAUGGAUCAAUUGUAGCUUUCAUCCAGGAGCAAAACCAACACAUUCGUCGCCAGGAGAACCAGAUGUGCGCAGACAUGAUAGAACUGAAGAAGGCAUUGACCAAGAUCACGGAGUUGGAGGAAGAACUCAAGGCUACACGCAAGGAUUAUAUGGAAUAAAUCGUCGCACUAGUGAGGAAGAACGGCGACCUGACACAGAAGAUCGGAGUUUUCAUGGGAGACCCAGCUCCAGGAGAAGAAGAUGACGAUUCUACUUGCCCGAAUAACUACAUCAUCAUCGACGACACCGACUCAGACCCCAGUGAAGAUGAUUUUGUUGAUGAAGCUGGAGCAGAUAUCAUGGAGUCUUCGACUGAUCAAAAUUUCUAGUAGACCACCAUAUCAGUAGUAGUAUUUCUCCAUGUAAAUAGUAUAGUCCGAGCACUUUUGUAACGAUAGUUAGAUCGAUUGUUAGCCUUGUUUGAAUUGAUUGAGUGAUAUUGAUUGUGUUUGUCUCAUGAGCAUAUGGGUAGUGUUUCCUCUCUAGACCUCAUUCUAUUCUAAAUUCUGAUCUUUUCUAAACCUAUCAGAUGCCUCCGAGACGCGACACCGGAUUUGUUUUCCCACCGGAGAUCACUCAGUUGAUUCAGCAGCAGAAUGCCCUGAUGCAAGUGUUAGUACAGAACCAAGGCAACAACAACAACAACAACAACAACCCACCACCACCACCUGUUGAUCACUUAGCCCGUUUCUUGAGGCUAAAUCCGCCAGUGUUUUCCAGCAGCACCGAGCCGAUUGUUGCCGAUGAUUGGCUCCGCAAAGUUGGAAGGGAGUUGACCACUGCAGGAUGCACAGAUGCGGAGAGAGUGGGUUUUGCCGCACAUCAGCUUGAUGGACCCGCAGCAUCAUGGUGGGAGAAUUACACAGCCACACACCCUAUUGACACUGUCGCAUGGGACCAGUUUUAGCAAGCUUUCCGUACUGCCCAUGUUUCAGCAGGAGCUAUGGCUAUGAAGAAGCGUGAGUUUCGCAACCUAAGCCAAGGAGGACGCACCGUAGGCCAGUAUGUGGAGGACUUUAGUAAGUUAGCACGUUAUGCUCCAGAUGACGUUGCUACAGAUGCAGCCAAGCAGGAGAAGUUUCUGGAAGGACUGAAUGAUGAGCUGAGCAUGCAGCUGAUGGUAGCAACCUUCAACAACUACCAGGAGUUGGUAGAUAGAGCACUCAUGAUUGAAGGGAAGCAACAGCAGAUUGAAAACCGUAAGAGGAAGUAUGGACAAGGGAAGUACAAUUCUGGAGCUCAGUAGAAGCCACGUUUUACCCCGAAAUCGGGAGGACAGUUUCAGCAUACCCAUGGAGAAGGUAGUUCGCACAACCAUAGUGGACCCAAGAAUGGUAAUGGGAAUGGAGGAAGCAACGGGCAGAACCGUAAUAACCCAUCUACCCCAGCCAAGAGAGAUCUAAGUCACGUUACUUGUUACAAGUGCCAGAAGACUGGACAUUAUGCAACUGAAUGCCCUGAAGCCCAGAAUGGAAAUGGAAAUGGAAGCUCUGGGAAGAAGCCGAACCCUUUCAACAAAGGACAUGUGAACCACGUUAGCGUGGAGGAGGUAGAAGCUCAGCCAGAUGUAGUAAUAGGUAAGUUUUGGGUUAAGUCAUUUACUGCACUCGUUCUUUUUGAUACUGGUGCAUCGCAUUCAUACAUAUCAAGGGGAUUUGUGGAUAAGUAUAAACUGCCAACCCAAGCCCUUAGGUCACCCAUGUUAGUAACCUCGCCAGGAGCAGAGUAUAUGGCUAGUUAAUGGUGUGAUCGGUUACCAUUAAGGAUUGGUAACUACGUGUUUCCCUCGGACCUAAUAGUACUGGAAUCGCAAGGAUUGGAUGUGAUAUUAGGCAUGGAUUGGUUAUCAAAGUAUGGAGGGAACAUUGAGUGCGCCAGUAAGGCGAUUUUGCUUACCACCCCAGAAGGAAGAAGGAUUAAGUAUGUAUCCCGGCAUAUGCCGAAGAGGACUCAGGUGAAUUCCUUAUCAGGAGUUGUACAGGAGGAAGUACCAGUGGUGAAGGAUUUCCCUGACGUAUUUCCAGAAGAGUUGCCAGGCAUGCCACCGAAUAGAGACAUUGAGUUUCUGAUUGAACUUUUGCCACGCACAGGACCAAUAUCUAAGAGACCGUACAGGAUGCCCGCCAAAGAUUUGGAGGAAAUUAAGAAGCAGAUGAAGGAGUUACUGGAUAAAGGCUAUAUUCGCCCAAGUUCGUCACCUUGGGGAUCACCCGUACUUCUAGUGGAGAAGAAAGAUGGAUCGUUGAGGAUGGUUGUUGAUUAUCGUGGAUUGAAUGAAGUGACCAUCAAAAAUAAGUACCCACUGCCGAUGAUCAAUGAUUUGUUUGACUGCUUACAAGGAGCUAAGGUAUUUUCUAAGAUCGAUCUACGAUCAGGAUACUAUCAGUUGAAGAUUCGAGAGCAGGAUAUACCUAAGACGGCUUUUACCACCAGGUAUGGGUUGUAUGAGUAUACCGUUAUGUCAUUUGGUCUGACUAACGCACCUGCCUAUUUCAUGAACCUGAUGAACAAAGUGUUUAUGGAGCUUUUGGAUAAGUUCGUCGUGGUGUUCAUUGAUGAUAUUUUGGUCUACUCAAAGAACGAAGAGGAGCAUAAGGAGCAUUUGCGUUUGGUACUUGAGAAGCUCAGAGAACAUCAGUUAUACGCCAAGUUCAGCAAAUGUGAGUUUUGGCUGGAGGAAGUUGGAUUCCUCGGACAUGUUAUAUCCGGAGAAGGAAUAACAGUAGACCCCGCCAAAGUUGACACAGUAACAAGCUGGGAAGCACCCACGUCAGUUGGAGAGAUCCGGAGUUUUCUUGGACUUGCUGGAUACUACCGGAGGUUCAUUGAGAAUUGCUCGAAGAUUGCUAAACCCAUGACAGAGCUGUUAAAGUAGGACACCAAGUUCAAUUGGACUGAGGAUUGUGAAGCUAGUUUUCAGGAGUUGAAGAAACGUUUGGUUACAUCACCAGUGUUGAUUCUGCCAGACCAACGCAAGGAUUAUGAAGUUUAUUGCGACGCUUCUCGUCGAGCACUUGGAGCAGUGCUUAUCCAGGAAGGAAGAGUUGUUUCAUAUGCUUCACGGCAACUUAAACCCCAUGAGAAGAAUUAUGCCACGCAUGAUCUGGAGUUAGCAACCGUAGUGCAUGCGUUGAAGACAUGGAUACAUUUUCUCAUCGGAAAUCACUGUGAGGUGUACACGGAUCACAAGAGUUUGAAAUACAUUUUCAUGCAAAAGGAGUUGAAUCUCAGGCAAAGGAGAUGGUUGGAACUCAUAAAGGAUUAUGAUAUGAGAUUGCAUUAUCACCCCGGAAAGGCUAACGUAGUAGCAGACGCGUUGAGCCGCAAGAGUCAUGUCAACACACUCAUGACCGGAGAGUUACCGAAAGUAUUAGCCGAGGAUCUUCGCGAGCUAUGUUUGGAGAUAGUACCGAGAGGUUACGUAGCAACGUUGGAGAUUCAGUCUACCUUGAUGGAAAAGAUCAGAGGAUCUCAGAAGACAGACAAGGAGAUUGACGAGAUAAAGGAAAGAAUGAGUAAAGGAAAAGCCAAGGGAUUUCGUGAGGAUGAGCACGAUACCUUAUGGUUUGAGGACCGCGUUUAUGUGCCUAAUGAUCCGGAGAUCAGGAAGUUGAUCUUGCAAGAGGCCCAUGAUUCACCGUAUUCGAUUCACCCAGGAAAUACCAAGAUGUAUUUGGAUUUGAAGGAUACUUUCUAGUGGACCGGAAUGAAGAAGGAUAGCGGAGUAUGUAGCAGUUUGUGAUGUAUGUCAGAGAGUAAAGGCAGAGCAUCAGAAGCCAGCAGGAUUGCUACAGCCAUUGCCGAUACCCGAAUGGAAGUGGGAUAAACUAGGCAUGGAUUUUAUCACGGGAUUGCCCAGGACUCGUUCAGGCUAUGACUCAAUAUGGGUUGUAGUCGAUCGUUUGACGAAAGUAGCUUAUUUCAUCCCAGUGAAGACCACUUACACCAGUGCUAAGUUGGCAAAGAUAUACAUGACCAGAAUCGUAUGUUUGCAUGGAGUUCCGAGGACCAUUGUAUCAGAUAGAGGAACCUAGUUUACCUCGAAGUUUUGGAAUCAGUUACAUGAAACUUUGGGAACCAGGCUAGAAUUCAGUACAGCUUUUCACCCACAGACAGAUGGACAGACCGAGAGAGUCAAUCAGAUUUUGGAAGAUAUGCUGAGAGCUUGUGCGCUAGAUUAUGGAUCUAGUUGGGACGACAAUUUGCCAUAUGCAGAGUUUUCUUACAACAACAGUUAUCAAACCAGUUUGAAGAUGGCCCCUUUCGAAGCUUUGUACGGAAGGAGGUGUAGGACACCAUUGUUAUGGGACGAAGUUGGAGACCGCCAGUCGUUUGGACCAGACUUGAUUAAGGAAUCAGAACAGAAAGUGAAGUUGAUUCGCGAUAGGCUCAAGGUAGCCCAGUCCAGGAAGAAGAGUUAUGCGGAUUUUAAACGCAAGGAGACAGUUUACGAAGUCGGAGACAGAGUUUACCUACGAGUAUCACCACUUCGAGGAGUGAAGCGCUUUGGAGUUAAGGGAAAGUUAGCGCCACGUUUUGUAGGACCAUACAGAGUUUUGGAGCGUAUGGGAGAAGUUGCUUACAAGCUGGAAUUACCUGAAGGAUUGUCAGGAGUUCAUGAUGUAUUUCACGUUUCCCAGUUGAAGAAGUGCCACGCAGAGAUGGCUGAGAUACCACUGGGAGAUACAGUGCCACUGGAAGCGAUUCAGUUGGAAAGUGAUUUGACCUAUGAGGAGAAACCAGUUAAGAUUCUUGAGUAUGCCAGCCGAGUCACCCGCAGCAAGGUUAUCAAGUUCUGCAAAGUUCAGUGGAGUCACCACACUGAAGAUGAAGCCACCUGGGAGCGAGAGGAAGAUCUAUGAAAGAACCACUCUCACCUAUUUUCUAGCCAACCCGAAUCUCGAGGGCAAGAUUCAUCUUAAGGGGGUUGUUUGUAGCAUCCCAAAUUUUUAAUUUGGAAUGUUAUACAUUAGAUCAUCAUUGCAUAGCAUAUUUUAUUGCAUUUUGGCAAAUCCUCGAAAAUCCUAAGCAACUCAAGGACCCUCGGAGAGAGUUGGGGAUUUUUCCCGGUUUUCAUAUUUGAUUUUUAUCAAAUAAUAAAACGAGGAUUUUUGGUUUUAAUUAUUUUUCUCUCCGAAAAAUAUUUCAUAUUAAAUAAAUGAGAGGAGAAAAUAUGACUUCUCCAAAAUAAUUGAAAUAUUGGAGGAAAAAUAUUAAAAUCAAAUAUUUGAUUUUAUUCGGAUUUUAUUGGCAAUUUUAAUUGCAUUAGAAAAAUUGCAUGUUUUCAAAACUGCAUUUUUGGGCCAAGAAAAUGUUCAUCUCGUUCUAAUUAUUUUAAUUAGACGGUGAAAAUUUGUUUUGGCAUUUUUGAAUUUUUAUUUAUUUUUCUACGAUUUUUUUUAAAUUCGGCGGAAUAUUUAAAAAAAAAUCGCCCGAGCGCCGACCGGGCCGAAGCCCCGCCGACGGCCCAGCUCCCNNNNNNNNNNNNNNNNNNNNNNNNNNNNNNNNNNNNNNNNNNNNNNNNNNNNNNNNNNNNNNNNNNNNNNNNNNNNNNNNNNNNNNNNNNNNNNNNNNNNNNNNNNNNNNNNNNNNNNNNNNNNNNNNNNNNNNNNNNNNNNNNNNNNNNNNNNNNNNNNNNNNNNNNNNNNNNNNNNNNNNNNNNNNNNNNNNNNNNNNNNNNNNNNNNNNNNNNNNNNNNNNNNNNNNNNNNNNNNNNNNNNNNNNNNNNNNNNNNNNNNNNNNNNNNNNNNNNNNNNNNNNNNNNNNNNNNNNNNNNNNNNNNNNNNNNNNNNNNNNNNNNNNNNNNNNNNNNNNNNNNNNNNNNNNNNNNNNNNNNNNNNNNNNNNNNNNNNNNNNNNNNNNNNNNNNNNNNNNNNNNNNNNNNNNNNNNNNNNNNNNNNNNNNNNNNNNNNNNNNGUCGCCCCGAGCCCCGCCGCCCCUCGCCGCACCCCGAGCCCCGCCGGAGCCCGUCCCGAGCCCCGCCGGAGUUGCCCCGACGAGGUAGCCGAGCCGCCGCCGCCGAGCCGGUUUUUUUUGUUCGGUUUAUUUUUUUCGAAACCCUAGUUUUUUUAAAUAGAUCGGUUUAUUUUUUUGGUUUAGUUAAUUAGUGAACAUUCACCGAUCCAUUCGUUUUAACGAACGUGUUCGUCGGUUUGUCGCAGCUAACGAACGUCCUUUCGUUUAACUGUUCGUCGGUUUUUCCGCGAUUAUUCCAGAUCGCGAUUUCUGAUCAGAUUUUCGUUCUGGUUUAUCUUUUCGCUCGUUUAUCGGAAUCAGGCGAUUCAAGCGCCUAGAGUUUCGUCUCGAAAUUCUCUUCCCGUUUAACCUACUCAAACAAGUUUUUGCUACUGUAAAAUUUGACCUAGAUCCAGAUUAGUAAACGAAGCUUGUUUCUUUCGCCGUUUGACUUUCGUUGCUUCGUUCGAUUUGUUUCUUUUUGCAAACCGGAGUUCUUAAGUUGAACUUUCUGGUUAGAUCUUUUAUUUGAGUUUUACCUAUGCAUUUGAUGAGUGCUUAUUGUAUGCUUGUUUGUUUGCGAUAGAGUACCCGGAGUGCGCCGCUUGCUACUUCGAAUCUCUAAGUUUCACGGAUCAUCAGCAAGGCAACUAACACUUUGAUCAUACCUCUUUACUACCCAGUUUUAUUGCAUUAGAUUAACCCUCAAACAUUGCAUGGUUAGGAUCUAAUUAAAUUGUGGGUAUUGGGAAGUAGUUGAGGUAGUACCUAUUACCUGUUUUAUUAUCAAACCCUUGGGAGUUACUUCUACGUUUGCUUAUAUUGCUAUGUUAUGCUAGUAGACGUGGAUUGGGUUUGAGUGUAUCCAUGACAGAUGUGAGACUGUUAAUAUAUGGUUAAACUUAAGGUGGCAACUAAAACUCACAUCUGGGUGGACUGAGGUACCUGGGUAUUCCAGGAUUGCCUGUUUUUCUAAGGACCGCCACCCAGGCUCAAAGGGAUCAUAAGAUUAUUCAUGAUAGAAACUUCCGUGUGCAGCCACAAGCUAUUAUGGGCUCUAGCAUAGUUGAUUAAGUUGUGUGAGCUCUUGAAGAGGUAGACUAGUAGAUGUAGGGGUUGUAGGUGGUACUGUCUACCCGGAGUAGAGAGUUAACGCUUCUGAAAGACUGUGUCUCGGUCAUCCGUUUCUCAAACAUCAUGUAGUGCGAGAAUCAAGCGGAGGCGAUCGAGUCUUGUGGGGAAAAGUGCACAAACCUCUGCAGAGUGUACAAUCUAAUCAUGGUUAGCCGUGUCCCCGGUUAUGGACAUCUUGAGUAUCUAGUACUUGGAUUAUCAUAUGAAUCUCAUCAUCAUGUUACUUUAAUUAAUUUUGUUGGGUUAAUGAUGAUACUUAAUUGGGAUUGAGAAUGCUGUCAACCAUUCUCAAUGUUUAACAACCACCAUGAUAGUUAAAUAAAAUUUAUUCCUUUGCAGUAGGGAAAAAUUGGCUUUUCGCAAAACUGUAACCAUAGAGCCUUCUACCAGCCAUAUAUGCAUGUAGUAUAGCAUUAUUAUGUUCAUUACUCUCUCUGUGUUACAUUACCAGCAUAUUCCAUGUGCUGACCCGUUUCGGGCUGCAACCUUUCAUGUUGCAGACUUUUCAGACGACGAGUAAGGUGCCUUAGGUCGUGGUCUUAUACUCAGUGAUGCUGUUGGAGUUGAUGGACUCACUUAUCUUCCAAGUCUUCCGCUGUUAUCGUAUUUAGAUGGCCUUAAGCCAUAUUUAUCAUACUUAUUCUCUUUUGAGAUACUCGUUGUAAUAAGUGUGUGAUUGCUACUCUGUUAUAAAUCCUCCAUUUGUACUGUGCGUGUCAGCAUUACUGAUACAGGGAUGACACUGGUGCACAGCAGCACAGACUGUUUGAGGUCUGGUCGCUACAGUCUAUGUUCAUGGCAUAUUGAAAAGAAUAUGCAGAAACACCUCAACCACAAGUCAUUGAAGGAGUUCAGGGCAUUACUGUACUAUGCCACUACACAUAAAGUUUUUGAGGAGAGAUGGGCCGCGUUUGUGCGCAAAUGGCAGACGGAGAGAACGAAAACAUGGAUCCAUAGGAUGUACAGGAAGAGGACGCUUUGGGCUGCAUCAUAUUUGUCUGGUGGGUUUUUUCUUGGUAUGCGCAGUAAUCAGAGGAGUGAGAGUCUGAACUCCAGCCUGCACCUUCAUCUUGACUAUGGUAUGACGAUCAUUGACAUGAUUGUACACUACGAGAAUUGUAUUGUUCGCCUCCGUGAGAAUGAAGCUUAUGAUGACUACACGGCCUCACAGACUGUCCCAGUAACAGUGAUUGAGUGUACCUUUGAGUCGUAUGCUGCCAAAGCAUUCACGCAUGCAAACUUUUAUAUGUUGCAACAAGAUAUGAAGAAGGUACAGGAGCUUGAGGUAAUUGAUAGACUGACAGGGACCGAUAGUCAGAGAUUUGUGGUUGCGUGGAAGAAUAACAGGGAUCACAUAUUUAAUGUGGACUAUACGCCAGGUAACUCGGCAGAAACUAUAAAGUGCAGUUGCCGAAGUAUGACUCGCAAAGGGCUUCCUUGCAAGCAUAUUCUUCAUGUUUUGAAUGCACUGAACUUACCUGUGAUACCCAAGUGUUGUGUCCUGCGAAGAUUCUCAAAAAAAGCACGAGCUGGACUGCCCGUGAAGCGCACCAGUGAUCUGUUUGCGUGGGGUUGGUCGAGUGCUGAGGACAGAGCUAGAUAUAGUGAGUUGACCAUCAAAUCUGCAGAAGCAUCUCAUCUCGCAUGUAGUAAUCCAUUCUUAUUCGACAAGUUGAUGGCAGCUCUGGAUGAUAUUAUAGCGAAUAAGGACGUUCAGGGGAAUGAAGAUGAUAGUCAGCGAAGCUUCGUGAAUGAUAAUCUGUUUGAGCCUAACCGAGAUCAUAUUCUAGUUCGUGAUCCAGUAAAGGUUUCCACCAAGGGCGCACCUAAGCAAAACAGUAGAGGUCGCGGUAAGGGUGGCCCAGAUGUGACAAAAAAUGAGAGACCUAAAGCAG
rnacentral:lncRNA from 1 species